rnacentral:rRNA from 1 species
UGCAAGUCGAACGGGAUUAAAUGGGUAGCAAUAUUCGUUUGAUGCAGUGGCAAACGGGUGCGUAACACGUGGGAAUUAACCCGGAAGUGGGGGAUAGCUUGCCGAAAGGCAAGGUAAUACCGCAUGUGGUCGAAAGACUAAAGUGGGGGACCGCAAGGCCUCACGUUUCCGGACAAGCCCGCGGCCUAUCAGCUAGUUGGUGAGGUAAAAGCUCACCAAGGCUAUGACGGGUAGCUGGUCUGAGAGGACGACCAGCCACACUGGAACUGAGACACGGUCCAGACACCUACGGGUGGCAGCAGUCGAGAAUCUUUCACAAUGGGGGCAACCCUGAUGGAGCGACGCCGCGUGGAGGAUGAAGGGCUUCGGCUCGUAAACUCCUGUCACCGCAGAACAAGGUUUAUCAGUUAAUAGCUGUGUAAAUUUGAUGGUAUGCGGAGAGGAAGGGACGGCUAACUCUGUGCCAGCAGCCGCGGUAAUACAGAGGUCCCAAGCGUUGUUCGGAUUUACUGGGCGUAAAGGGUGCGUAGGAGGUUGGCAAAGUCGGAUGUGAAAUCUCACCGCUUAACGGUGAAAUUGCGUUCGAUACUGGUUGACUAGAGUAUCGGAGGGGAAAGCGGAAUUCCUGGUGUAGCGGUGAAAUGCGUAGAUAUCAGGAGGAACACCAACGGCGAAGGCAGCUUUCUGGACGAUAACUGACUCUGAG